rfam:Chaetomium thermophilum var. thermophilum DSM 1495 unplaced genomic scaffold scf7180000011816, whole genome shotgun sequence.
GCUGGAGUAGAGUAGUAGUUAACUCGCCACCCUUCCAAGGUGGAAACCUGGGUGCAAAUCCCAGCUCCUGCA